AUGAUGAAACUUCGGUUCAUUGCUGGGCAUCUGCCUAGCAAUGCAAAUUCUUACAGGCUUAUUCCUAGCAAUACACUAUACAUCAGACACCAUAACAGCCUUCUCAUCUGUAACUCACAUCUGCCGAGACGUAAACUAUGGCUGAUUAAUUCGUUACCUACAUGCCAACGGCGCAUCCCUAUUCUUCAUAUGCCUAUACCUCCAUAUCGGCCGAGGCUUGUACUACGGCUCAUACACCUUCCUAGAAACUUGAAACAUCGGAAUUAUCCUAUUAUUCACCGUUAUAGCCACAGUAAUUACCAACCUAUUAUCUGCCAUCCCCUACAUUGGAACCGACCUAGUAGAAUGAAUCUGAGGUGGCUUCUCAGUAGACAAAGCAACUCUAACACGCUUCUUCGCCUUCCACUUCAUCUUACCAUUUAUUAUCACAGCACUCGUAGUAGUCCACCUGUUAUUCCUACACGAAACAGGAUCAAACAACCCCACAGGUAUCUCGUCAAACAUAGACACAAUCCCAUUCCACCCGUACUAUACAAUUAAAGAUAUCCUAGGCUUAAUUCUCAUAAUCCUGCUUCUAAUAACAUUAGUUCUAUUUUACCCAGACCUACUAGGAGACCCAGACAACUACACCCCAGCAAACCCACUGAACACUCCACCCCAUAUUAAACCAGAAUGAUAUUUUCUAUUUGCCUACGCAAUCCUACGAUCUAUCCCAAAUAAACUAGGAGGAGUAUUAGCCCUAGUUUGCUCAAUCCUUGUCCUCGCCAUCAUCCCUUUACUACACACAGCAAAACAACGAAGCCUUAUAUUCCGUCCAAUCAGCCAAUGUCUAUUUUGACUCCUAGCAGCCAACCUAAUAAUCCUUACAUGAAUCGGAGGCCAACCAGUCGAACACCCAUUCAUUAUCAUCGGACAAGUAGCAUCUAUUUCAUACUUCACAAUUAUCCUGGUCCUCAUACCAAUUGCAGGCCUAAUCGAGAAUAAGCUCAUAAAAUGAAGACGUCCCAGUAGUAUAAAUAUUACCAUGGUCUUGUAAACCAUAAAUGAAGAAUAACCACUUCCUAGGACAAUUCAAGGAGAGGAUACUACACUAACCCCACCAUCAACUCCCAAAGCUGACAUUCUAAUUAAACUACUCCUUGAACACUAACAUGCACAAUAUAUAUAUAUAUAUAUACCAAACAUAGCGCUAUUUCGGCGCUAUGUAAUUCGUGCAUACAUUUAUCUACCCCAUACAUAUCAUUAUAUACUAACUAUUAUUAAUCUUACAUAGUACAUUCUAUGUAUAAUCACACAUACACUUAUCUACCCCAUACAUAUCAUUAUAUACUAACUAUUAUUAAUCUUACAUAGUACAUUCUAUGUAUAAUCACACAUACACUUAUCUACCCCAUACAUAUCAUUAUAUACUAACUAUUAUUAAUCUUACAUAGCACAUUCUAUGUAUAAUCACACAUACAUUUAUCUACCCCAUGCAUAUCACACCCCAACUAAACCUACGCACAGACAUAACGAGUACCAAGUUCUAACCGUACACUGAUCAUCUCCAACCAAAAUUCUCACUCACCAACUCCCGAGAAACCAGCAACCCGCCAGACAAGUAUCCCUCUGCUUGCUCUGAGCCCAUAAACCGUGGGGGUUUCUAUACGUGAAACUUUAUCUGGCAUCUGGUUCUUUCUUCAGGGCCAUCUCACCUAAAACCGUCCACUCAUUCCCCUUAAAUAAGACAUCUCGAUGGACUUAUGCCAUAUUAAACCGUGACCUUGCAUCCCCUUAUCUGUCAUACAUUUGGUACCUUUUUUUUUGGGGGGGGGGAAAUCGCACCGACUCACCUAUGGCCUACGCCGGCCUCGACGCAGUCAAUUAAAUUGUAGCUGGACUUCGAAUGCACGUGAUUUACCCGCAUACAUUGAGUUCAUGGUAUUAUUCAGUCAAUGGUUACAGGACAUAAAAAUUUUUACGCCUUUCGCGCAUACGCAUACGCAUACGCAUACGCAUACGCAUACGCAUACGCAUACGCAUACGCAUACGCAUACGCAUACGCAUACGCAUACGCAUACGCAUAC
rnacentral:lncRNA from 1 species